CUUGGUUGAUCCUGCCAGUAGCAUAUGCUUGUCUCAAAGAUUAAGCCAUGGAAGUCUAAGUACACACUGCCGGUACAGUGAAACUGCGAAUGGCUCAUUAAAUCAGUUAUGGUUCCUUUGAUCGCUCUCAUGUUACUUAGAUAACUGUGGCAAUUCUAGAGCUAAUACAUGCCAAUGAACGCUGACCUUCGGGGAUGCGUGCAUUUAUCAGACCCAAAACCCAUGCGCACUUUGGUGACUCUAGAUAACCUCGAGCCAAUCACUGGCCCCCGUGGCAGCGAUGUCUCAUUCGAAUGUCUGCCCUAUCAACUUCUGAUGGUAAUUUCUGUGCCUACCAUGGUGACCACAGGUAACAGGGAAUCAGGGUUUGAUUCCGGAGAGGGAGCCUGAGAAACGGCUACCACAUCCAGGGGAUGGCAGCAGGCGCGCAAAGUACCCACUCCUGACUCGGGGAGGUAGUAACAAAAAAUAACAACGCAGGACUGUUUCGCAGCCCUGUAAUUGGAAUGAGUACACUUUAAAACUUUUAACAAGGAUCAAUUGCAGGGCAAGUCUGGUGCCGGCAGCCACAGUAAUUCCAGCUCCAAUAGCGUAUCUUAAAGUUGCUGCAGUUAAAAAGUAGUUGGAUCUCGGGAUCGAGCUGACGGUCUGCUGCGAGGCUAGCUACUGUCUGUCCCAACCCCUGCCUCUCAGCGCCCCCUCGAUGCUCUUUGCUGAGUGUCCUAUGGGGUCCGAAGCGUUUACUUUGAAAAAAUUUGAGUGUUCAAAGCAAGCCUGUUCGCCUGAAUACUGCAGCUAGGAGUAAUGGAAUAGGACUCCAGUUCUAUUUUGUGGGUUUUCUCUCUGAACUGGGGCCAUGAUUAAGAGGGACGGCUGGGGGCAUUCGUAUUGUACCACUAGAGGUGAAAUUCUUGGACCGGCGCAAGAUGGAGGAAAGCGAAAGCAUUUGCCAAGAAUGUUUUCAUUAAUCAAGAACAAAGUCGGAAGUUCGAAGACGAUCAGAUACCAUCAUAGUUCCGACCAUAAACAAUGCCAACUAGCAAUCUGACAGCAUUAUUCCCUAAGACCUGCUGAGCAGCAUCCGGGAAACCAAAAUCUUUGGGUUCCAGGGGGUAGUAUGGUUGCAAAGCUGAAACUUAAAGGAAUUGAUGGAAGGGCACCACCUGGAUUGGAGCCUGCAGCUUAAUUUGACUCAACACGGAAAACUUCACCCAGCCUGGACACGGAAAGGAUUGACAGAUUGAUAGCUCUUUCUUGAUUCUGUGGGUGGUGGUGCAUGGCCGUUCUUAGUUGGUGGAGCGAUUUGUCUGGUUAAUUCCGAUAACAAACGAGACUCCGGCAUGCUAAAUAGUUACGUGGCCUCGUGCGGUCAGUGUCCAACAAGUGGCAUUCAGCCAUACAAGAUUGAGCAAUAACAGGUCUGUGAUGCCCUUAGAUGUCCAGGGCUGCACGAGCACCACACUGAAUGGAUCAGCGUGUGUCUACCCUUUGCUGAGAGGCAUGGGUAACCCGCUGAACCCCACUCGUGAUAGGGAUUGGGGAUUGCAAUUAUUUCCCAUGAACAAGGAAUUACCAGUAUGUGUGGGUCAUAAGCUCACGUUGAUUAAGUCCCUGCCCUUUGUACACACUGCCUGUCGCUACUACCAAUUGGAUGGUUUAGUGAAGUCCUCAGAUCGGCCUAGCCGGGGUUGGCCAUGGCCCUGGCGGAGGGCCGAGAAGACGAUCAAACUUGACUAUUUAGAGGAAGUAAAAGUUGUAACAAGGUUUCCAUAGGUGAACCUGCAGAAG
rnacentral:rRNA from 1 species